AUAAAAAACCAAUGCGGAGCAAUCCGGUUUUUAGUGAAUCAUAAUAACUUAACGGAUCGCAUGGCCUUGUGCCGGCGAUAGUUCAUUCAAAUUUCUGCCCUAUCAACUUUCGAUGGUACGGUAUUGGCCUACCAUGGUUA
rnacentral:rRNA from 1 species